rnacentral:rRNA from 1 species
UAGCGUGAGGGUGCCAAGGUAGCGAAAUUCCUUGCCUUUUAAUUGUAGGCCUGCAUGAAUGGAUUGACGAGGGCCAGUCUGUCUCUUGCUUUGUGUAGUGAAAUUGGGCUGAAGGUGAAGAUACCUUCAUAUAAAAGUUAGACAAGAAGACCCCGUGCAGCUUUUAAAAAUUUGUUAAUUAAGAGCAGUAGAUUUUUAGGUGGGGCGCCUAGGAAGUAAAACUUAACCUUCAUUAUAAUUUCUUUUGAAUUAAAAUAACUUUCUGGUGUAGACCCGGCAAGUCCGAUCGUAGGAGAAGUUACGCCGGGGAUAACA